GAAAAUAGAGAGGGAGAAGGAAAGAAAGGCGGGUUCAGUUGGUUGAGGUCGUCACCACCGCGAAGCACCAUGUGGAGGUUAAGGUCACCUCGAAUCUCUCAUCUCGUUGGUAGAUUGAGUCAAAUUAACGUAGUAAGUGAUGUGAAGGUGCAGCAGUAUCGUUGCUGUCAAACUCUAGUGUCGCCUCCUCCAUCGAGUUUGCAACAG